rnacentral:rRNA from 1 species
CACGUGGAUAACCUGCCCUAAGGUCCGGCAUAACCCCGGGAAACUGGGGAUAAUUCCGGAUAAACCAUAGAUACUGGAAUGUUCUUUGGUUAAAAGCUCCGGUGCCUUAGGAUGGAUCUGCGGCCUAUCAGGUAGUAGUGGGUGUAAUGUACCUACUAGCCGACGACGGGUACGGGUUGUGAGAGCAAGAGCCCGGAGAUGGAUUCUGAGACAUGAAUCCAGGCCCUACGGGGCGCAGCAGGCGCGAAAACUUUACAAUGCGGGAAACCGCGAUAAGGGGACACCGAGUGCCAGCAUAUUAUGUUGGCUGUCCGCAUGUAUAAAUAACAUGUGUUAGCAAGGGCCGGGCAAGACCGGUGCCAGCCGCCGCGGUAACACCGGCGGCCCGAGUGGUAGCCGCUAUUAUUGGGUCUAAAGGGUCCGUAGCCGGUUUGAUCAGUCUUCCGGGAAAUCUGACAGCUUAACUGUUAGGCUUCCGGGGGAUACUGUCAGACUUGGAACCGGGAGAGGUAAGAGGUACUAC